CCUGUUUGCCAUAAGGAAUUUUAAAACAUGCAAUACUUGACUAUUUAGUGUGGGGGAGUUGACUUGUUUUCCCUUAGAUUGUCAAAUAAAAAAAUGACAACAGCAAGCACAACAUUAGCGUCCAGUGUGAAUGAACCAAAGUUAUACCUAUUUCAUUCGUCAUUUUGGCAAAUAUAGAUUUUU